UCUCCUUCCUUCCACUUGAGGAAAGGAGAAGGAAGAGUGGGGAGAACUUGUCUUGCGGGUUGGAUACCAUUUCAGCCACAGCAGUAUAGGGCACUAGUCAGUCAUUAAGCUGUCAUUCUAGGCCUUAACUCCCAGACAACAUCUCUAGAAUAACCCUGAACCAGAAGGGAACCUGCUGCCUUGAAGAAAAGACCCAGUUUUUUCAACAUUCAUCACCUGCUAACCGAAGAGCCCUUGGGCCCUGAAUAACCAACAGUGAAACCCAGCUACUACAUCGUGGUCCUUGGGUACCAAUACUGGUAUAGGUGGGUAGAGCACCAAGCAGGCUCUUGGGGUUCGCAAUUCCAGACUUGACACUUGGACAGCACAUCUGGACCUGCCUUGGGUCAGAGGGGAACCCACUGCCCUGAAAGGAUGAAGGUCACAUCCAUAUUAAUUGCCCUGAUAAUGAAACCUUCCUGGAGGCCACCUGUCAGAACAUCUGGAGCUCUUGUUGUUACUGCUUCCAACAAGGCACCAUUUCCAUCCCUACGCUGACUUCAAAGACCCAUCUUCAAGGUUGAUGCAAACUAUUGAGAACUUCUUUUUAAGACAUUGGAGAAAAGUGUUGAAGAUGAAUCUACUGACAGUCCAAAUGCUCACCGAGGUCACCUUUUUCAUAAUCAAUAUUUGAAGAGUCUGCUCUAUCAACAAUUUAAUCUAAGUAAAUGAAUCCUGCUAGUGAAUUAAUGUGAUUUUAACUGGGAUUCACUCAUUUUCAAUAAUGUUGCAGCCUUUGUUGUCUAAUAACUUAAUGUCUCAAAUUAUGAGAAUUUCAAACUUUGGCAGGCCAGCAGGUGUUUGGGGGGGGACAUCUCAUUUCAUUUAUGUCAAAGUUAGAAAAUGAAUCUAAAUAUGCCAGCCCGGUUAUUUCCUGUGGGUUUAAUAGAAUCUUAAGCAUUAUGUUUUCUGCAAUGUAAAGGGUAAGAAUAAUUGUUAACCAUUCUUGCUUCUCCUGUUCUUUAAAAAAAUUCAAAUACUGUUCAUACUCCCUGAUGAUUAAAUGUUUAAUAUGUUUCUAUCUUCUUCUAUCUCCCAAUUAUGACCUCCUUGGAGAUUUUGUCACUGUGCUUAACUUAUAGAUGCUUAAUAAACGUUUGAUGAAUAAA